CCUACGGGAGGCAGCAGUGGGGAAUAUUGGGCAAUGGGCGCAAGCCUGACCCAGCAACGCCGCGUGAAGGAAGAAGGCUUUCGGGUUGUAAACUUCUUUUCUUAGGGACGAAGCAAGUGACGGUACCUGAGGAAUAAGCCACGGCUAACUACGCGCCAGCAGCCGCGGUAAUACGUAGGUGGCAAGCGUUAUCCGGAUUUACUGGGUGUAAAGGGCGGGUAGGCGGGAAAGCAAGUCAGAUGUGAAAACCAUGGGCUCAACCUGUGGCCUGCAUUUGAAACUGUUUUUCUUGAGUACUGGAGAGGCAGGCGGAAUGCCUAGUGUAGCGGUGAAAUGCGUAGAUAUUAGGAGGAACACCAGUGGCGAAGGCGGUCUGCUGGACAGCAACUGACGCUGAGGCGCGAAAGCGUGGGGAGCAAACAGGAUUAGAUACCCGGGUAGUC
rnacentral:rRNA from 1 species